ensembl:snoRNA SNORD115 Small nucleolar RNA SNORD115
GGUUCUGUGAAAACCAAUGUCAUGAAGAGAGGUGAUGACAUAAAAAUCAUGCUCAAUAGGAUUAUGCUGAGGCC